AGUAACGGCGAGUGAAGCGGGAACAGCUCAAAUUUGAAAUCUGGCCUUCGGGUCCGAAUUGUAAUUUGCAGAGGAUGCUUUUGGUUAGGUACUUUCCGAGUUCCCUGGAACGGGACGCCUUAGAGGGUGAGAGCCCCGUACGGUUGGAUACCGAGCCUUUGUAAAGCUCCUUCGACGAGUCGAGUAGUUUGGGAAUGCUGCUCUAAAUGGGAGGUAAAUUUCUUCUAAAGCUAAAUACCGGCCAGAGACCGAUAGCGCACAAGUAGAGUGAUCGAAAGAUGAAAAGCACUUUGAAAAGAGGGUUAAAUAGCACGUGAAAUUGUUGAAAGGGAAGCGUUUAUGACCAGACUUUUUCCAGGCGAAUCAUCCGGUGUUCUCGCCGGUGCACUUCGUCUGGUUGAGGCCAGCAUCGGUUUUCGUGGGGGGAUAAAAGCGGUGGGAAUGUGACUCCUCCGGGAGUGUUAUAGCCCGCCGUAUAAUACCUCCAUGGGGACCGAGGUUCGCGCUCUGCAAGGAUGCUGGCGUAAUGGUCAUCAACGACCCGUCUUGAAACACGGACCAAGGAGUCGAACAUUUGUGCGAGUGUUUGGGUGUUAAACCCUCACGCGUAAUGAAAGUGAACGGAGGUGAGAGCCCUUACGGGUGCAUCAUCGACCGAUCCUGAUGUUUUCGGAUGGAUUUGAGUAAGAGCAUAACUGUUCGGACCCGAAAGAUGGUGAACUAUGCGUGGAUAGGGUGAAGCCAGAGGAAACUCUGGUGGAGGCUCGCAGCGGUUCUGACGUGCAAAUCGAUCGUCAAAUCUG
rnacentral:rRNA from 1 species